ACGCCGCGUGCGGGAUGACGGCCUUCGGGUUGUAAACCGCUUUUGACUGGGAGCAAGCCCUUCGGGGUGAGUGUACCUUUCGAAUAAGCACCGGCUAACUACGUGCCAGCAGCCGCGGUAAUACGUAGGGUGCAAGCGUUAUCCGGAAUUAUUGGGCGUAAAGGGCUCGUAGGCGGUUCGUCGCGUCCGGUGUGAAAGUCCAUCGCUUAACGGUGGAUCCGCGCCGGGUACGGGCGGGCUUGAGUGCGGUAGGGGAGACUGGAAUUCCCGGUGUAACGGUGGAAUGUGUAGAUAUCGGGAAGAACACCAAUGGCGAAGGCAGGUCUCUGGGCCGUCACUGACGCUGAGGAGCGAAAGCGUGGGGAGCGAACAGGAUUAGAUACCCUGGUAGUCCACGCCGUAAACGGUGGAUGUUGGAUGUGGGGACCAUUCCACGGUCUCCGUGUCGGAGCCAACGCGUUAAGCAUCCCGCCUGGGGAGUACGGGCCGCAAGGCUAAAACUCAAAGAAAUUGACGGGGGCCCGCACAAGCGGCGGAGCAUGCGGAUUAAUUCGAUGCAACGCGAAGAACCUUACCUGGGCUUGACAUGUUCCCGACAGCCGUAGAGAUAC
rnacentral:rRNA from 1 species